rnacentral:SRP_RNA from 1 species
GCCGGGCGUGGUGACACACGCCUGUAAUCCCAGCUACUCAGGAGGCUGAGGCAGGAGAAUCGCUUGAACCCGGGAAGUGGAGGUUGCAGUGAGCCGAGACGGUGCCAUUGCACUCCAGCCUGGGUGACAGAGCGAGACUCUGUCUCAA